UUUCACAUUAAGAGAAUACACUCAGGUAUCACAACUUGGCCAGUCUUGCUACCAGUAAGUGGCAGAACCAGGAUUUGAACCUUAAUUUUCAGAUACCAAAGCUUAGAUAUACUAUUCUGUGGCAGCAAUCAGCAGCAUCCCUCAUUGGGAGAUUUCUAAUCUGUUAUUGAUUAGCUUAAAUUGUUGGAAAGUUAUUUCACAUACUGAACCAAAAUCUGUUUCUUUUUACCUCUAUAUAAAAUUGCCCUGUGGGCGCCACAGAGAAUGUCCACCUUUCUUUUUCCUGACAGUCAUUUUCAAAUCCCUGAGUAAAACUGUCCAGUGUGAUAGUUAGGGAUUCAUAAAGAAGUGGCACCUAAAGAAAAAUCAUUGCAUUUGGAUUGGUGCAAAUGAGAGGAACAGACACUUAACAUAAUCAGAUGUGAUGAUAAUAGAAGGACUGACUGAGUGCCUGCUGGGUCCAGCCCUGUACUCACCACUUUCCAUGCAGCAUCUCACACAUCAAGUAAUUCUCAUGACUGUGCAGUAGGGGAAUAAUGUUCUCAUUUUACAGAUGCAAAAAAUGGACUCAAGAGAUGUAAAAUAAUCCAGUUCACCCAGGUAUUAAGUGACAGAGAUUUGAAACCAGAGUUAUGUGAUUCUAAAGGAUGUUUUUUGUCCUAGUUUAGGCUUCAUCUUGGCUGCAUAAAUUAUAACAGUAUAUUUGUUGAUCGGUUUGAAUUCAAUGAAGUACAAGCAAAAAGACCUUAUUGUUUGUCAGUCACUAUCUCAGAUAUACAGUGCCAAUUUACUCUAUUUUUGUCCUCUUAACAUUUUAAGAAGAUUCCAUUGUUUUUAAGUCUAAGAGCUCAAUCUCAUUUCUUUCCCUCUCUUCAGCUCAGACCCAAGAAUGCAAGCCCAAAUAACCUGUAGGGAAGAACAUGUUCUAUACAAUUAAUCUUUUUUCGCUUUUCUCUUUUUUUGCCCUUUUUCAUUGGCAUUUAAGGCAAGGAACAGGGAAAACAGUGCAGGUCAAGUGACUCUUAGCUGAUGCUGUUGUAAUCCUUCCUGACUCUUGCUAGUUUUUCAUGUAACUGAACAGCUACUGAUGCUGUCUGUAAGGCCAGCAUUUAACACUAUAGAUUUAGGAAAAAUGAAGGAGUAAGGGGAGGCAAGUUCUGGUUUGGAGGCCAGGAAAGAUGACAUUUAUGGAAAAGUGAAAACUAAGAAAGCGAGCUGUUUCAGGAUGGGCAAAAUCCAACAGGCAUGGUGGAAGGCAUGCACCUCUUACGUGAUGACUUAAAAUGGAAAGACAGCUUUUGCUUUGUGGAACUGAUGUGUUCUGGCUAAUGGUUCUAAAAUGAACUCAAUUUUCCUUCUUAACUGCUAUUAUGGAAUCAAGGCCGUAUCCCCACAAGAAAAAAAAAAGGAAAAUCCUCAAAAGACUCAAUUAAAAACUUUUGGUGAAGAUGUAUUUGAAAGGGUAGCCAGCUCCCUAGGUCCUAUGGGAUUGCUGUCCCACUUAAUCGUCCGCCUCCUCUUUGCUAUAGUUUUUUGACUCCUUUGUCUCCCAUAGGCUGUCAGGGCCACUAUUGCUCCCUUUGGGAUAGAAUGUUCAUGCAUGUCUAUUAUAGGAGAAAUGACUGCACGGUCCUAAAACAUUGGGAGUUUUCUGGCUGACUAUAGAAGAUGUCACAUAUUUGCAUACAGGUUUUACGUGCUUAUCCACUGCCAUUUAUCACCUUUGGAACAUUUCUAAAAAUAAGACAACCUACUGAGAGCAGCCAUGAGAGAUAACUGUGACCUGUAUGUCUUUAUCUCUACAUGAGCAAAAAUCCUCCAAAACGUCAUCUAUAGACAAGGCAUUUUCUAUUUCAUCAAACUCUUAGUUGGCCUGUAGAUUUGCCAUACUUUGUGUCUGUAUAAUAUCUAUUGAUCUGCCUAUUAUGAGAAAGCUCUCUUUUGAACCAGUUAUGAGAAAACUCAAUUGAGCAAAUGGUAAGCUAUGUCCCUAACUCUGUCCCCUGGGUGAUUUGAUCUUGGGUACCAGUAGAGGCUACUGAGAUUUGGAAGGAGAGCAUGCACAGAAGAAACCAGGAGACUGAAGAAUUUAGGGAUACCUUGGGGAAGAGAAGAGGCAUAAAAGGGAGGAAAUGGCUACUGGCAAAGAUAAGAUCUUGCUUUAGAAAUAUCCUUGUACUGGUUUCUAUGCAGAAAACCUAUAAUACCAAUCCUAUUGAAAAGACUGGGUCAAUAGAGUCACCUCCUAACUCUCAAUUUAUAGCACCUACAACUUUCUCUAACUUUGUUACAGCUGAAGGAAGGAGUCAUGUUGAUAGAAAAUACUAUUACAGCUCUUUUUGAAAAGAAAAAGAUUUUCACAAAUGCUUCCCUUCUCAUUUAUUGUCACUACCAUUUUCCCCCAGACUAUUCUCAUUCUCAGCCCACGUAGGAAAUCAGAAGAUAAUUUAAAAUUAAAUGAUGAUGGCUCAGAGCUUAACACACUUAAAAAAGACAGAGGAAAGAAAAGCAUCACAUCUUUACAGGGCUGAGAGUGAUGGCUGGAAGCUUGCUAAGGAUGCCCAGCAGAGCUGUUGGCAAGUGGGCUCAUCACACUUUGUGUGACAACAGAGGACCCACAAGACAUUAUCCUUCCUCAGGCCAUGGGAUAGUGACUGAGGUCAUGGAAACCUAGGGGAGAGAGUUGAGAAAGAAUGGAAAGAAGGUUCAGAGAGAGAUUUUAUGAGUUAGGAAAAUUAGAUUGAAUCCUUAGUUUACUAAUUACUACUUUGUAAUAUAAUCCUUCUAAGCAUUUCUUUCUUUACCUAUGAAAAUGUCUUCAUAGAAUAUCUGUGAAAAGUAAAUUUACAUAUGUACAUACAUUUAUAGCUGUGGGUAUAUAUAUGCAUAUACAUGUAUACACAAUCACACAUACAUAUGUAAGUCUCAAUCAGCACAGGAAUCAACACAUAAAAAAUUCCUUACAAAUGGUAAGAAUAAAAUAAAAUAUAUAAUAAGAAUAAACUAUUCUUAUUAUAAGGUGUAGCAUUUAUUUCAGCUUGUCUUUACUUCCACUUGCCCCCAUGUGAUGGUGUACAAAUCACUGAAAAGGAUCUAUUUCCUUUCAAGGUUCUCUGACUGUUAGAAGUAAAAAGAGCAGAGGUGUUAAAGUCUCACAAAGCAAAAUUCAGAUUUGUGCUCUGCCACUUAUGAGCUAUGGAAUAUUGGACAAGUUAUCUUUUGAUCUCAGAGCUCACAUAUGGAUAAUGGCAUUAUUUAUUAUUCCACUUCAUGGCUGGGAAAUUUAACAAGGGGAAAAGUAUGUAGCAGUGCUGAGAGUAAUCCCUGAUAUAUAACAUAUACUAAACCAGGGGUUGGCAAACUUCUGUCAAGGGUCAGAUCAUAAAUAUUUUAGGCUUUGCAGGCACUCAAGUUAGUCAUCAUAGCAUGAAAGCAGCCAGAGGCAAUAUGUAAGGGAGUAAGCAUGGCUGUGUUCCAAUAAAACUUUAUUUAAAAAGGACAGGUUUUGGCCUGUGAUCUGUAGUUUUCAAAUCCCAGCACUUAGCCUAUAUUGGUAUCUCCCCCUUUCCUCAAUCUGUCUUCUUUGAGAUUUGGGUUUUACAUAAUGUUCAAAAUAUAUAAUGUGUAUAAUGUUAAAAAUAGCACUACUUAAAGACAGAUUGAUUUAUUGAGCAUCUGUUGGGUACAAUGGACAAAGUCAAGUGGAAUGAAUAAAACAGAGUGAAUAAAAAUUUACUUCUACUCAUGAGGUACUUAAAGGGUAACAGAAAGUGACUGACUUAUCUAAGCUUGGUCUUUUUAGCCAGAAAGUGGUUUAAGAGUAUUUAUUUCUUUGGGUUAUUGGAGGAUGAAAUAAAGCAUCAGGAGUUCCCGUUGUGGCGCGGUGGUUAACGAAUCUGACUAGGAACCAUGAGGUUGUAGGUUCGAUCCCUGGCCUUGCCCAGUGGGUUAAGGACCCGGCGUUGCUGUGAGCUGUGGUGAAGGUUGCAGACGUGGCUUGGAUCCCAUGUUGCUGUGGCUCUGGUGUAGGCCGGCGGCUACAGCUCCCAUUGGACCCCCUAGCCUGGGAACCUCCAUAUGCCGUGGGAGAGGCCCAAGAAAUGGCAAAAAGACAAAAAAUAAAAAAAUUAAAAAAAUAAAGCAUCAUAUUUAAGUGUAUAUGCCAUACAAACCAUUAUGGAGAAAUGGUUAUUGGACUUUUUUUCUAUCAAGAACUGUAAAACUGAACGAAAUGUAUAAAGACAUUGUUUUCAGAUAUUGGACAACAGAAAGCACAGGUCAGCAAUGCUUGAGAUAAGGAAAACACCCAUUUUCAUUUCUGCUUUCUGCCUGCAACCACUAUUCAAACCUAAGCACAGAGAAGUGGAGCACAAUUUUUGAAAAGUUGAGACCAAUUUUUUAAAAGUGUUUUUAUUUCUUUUUAAAGCAGUAGUUUCACUAGAUAGAGACAAGAGAGGUUAGAAUUUAGGGCUGCUGAUGUAGCUAGAAGUUACACAUCAGCUUACUGAGGAAAGGGCAUAUAUAUGCAUAGAGAAGAUGGCUUCAAAAAUCUUCAUAAGGGUCCCCUUGAGUUUUUGGGUGAGUAGAAAGCAGUAUAUGCAAAGAUCGAGUGUCAGUUUGAUUAGGCAGAGGAUUGCUAUUGGAUAACUGUGAACUAAACAGAAUCUUAGAGAUUUCAUAGUGCAGGAUCCAUCUGAGUUAUAUCCACUAAAAUAGAGGGACUUCAUAAAUACCCAGGGCAUUCAAUUGAGACCCCAGAAAAGUUACAGUUUAAGAGUAGGGCUGAGGGGAGAUCAAGAUGGUGGAGUAGGAGGAUAUGGAGCUCACCUCCCCCCUAAACACAUCAAAAAUGCAUAUACAGCUCUCACAGAAAACCAAUUGGAAGUGGUCAGAAGAUUGCCUACAAAACCAAAGCUGCAAGAAAGAUCUCCAUGUAACCAGGCAGGAUGGGGAAAAAAGGCAUCUAGGAUGGGACUGGUGCCCCGGGAAGGAUCUGUAAGGGAGAGAAGGUCCACAUGGGCAGACCCUCAACUUGGGUAGCCCCCUGCCUGUUGGGAAACCCAUUGGAACAGAUAGCAGGGCUAGAGAAGCCUAGAAUCUACUCAAGAGGAGUGUGCACAUGAUGCCUUGCUAACAAUCAAGAUGGAGAGAGACCUGAACUGGUGGGUGCAGCUUUCUGUACUUCUCAGUUCAAAGGGGCAAACACCUCAGCCCCUCUCCACACAGUGACCUGGCAUGAGAUCAGGGCAGAGAUUCAGUCUGCUGCAUAGAGAUAGACUGGCGCACCUGGGCUGUGGCUUAUGCUGGACAACAGAAGCCAAUGUCAGCACUCACACACGGGGACAGCAGUUUGAAUUAGGCAACACUGUCAGUGCACACACUGAGGUGAACUAGGCAGACAUUGUCAACAUGUGCAGCAGUUGAUGCCACAAAUACACUCAGAAGCUAAGCACUGAAUCUCAGGGAGAGGCUCAAUCUAGUCACACAGAAGUAGCCUGGAGGGCCUGGGAUGUGAUUGAGGGGAGCCAGAGAGUGAAUUGUUGGUGCACACACAGCAGGGGCUGGUCUGGCUAUGGCAGACAUUGUUGGUGCAUGCAAUGGGUGGCAUUAGAGGGAUGCACACUGGCUGGGUAUUGAGUGUCAGAUGGAAAGGACCAAGGCAGGAAUACAUAGAAGUUUGUUUGCCAUCAGAGCACUCUGGCUCUGCUUGCUCCACACUGCAGCUUAAAGCCAUAUAUGGGGCAGAGAGGUACUGAGGGCUGCCACAAGGUAGCCCAGCCCCAGAUGGCAGGACAGCCACCUUGAUUUCUGAAACCACAAUGUCCCAGUCCUUAGCCCCAGCCUACUCCAUGCCACAGCCUAGCAUUAGGUCUGGGAUGAACACAAAGGAGAAUGUGACAAAACCUUGAGCUGUUUCUGGGUGGUACUCCAGCUGCCUGUACAAGUAGCACAUAGGUUCACUAUGACAGCAUGGGACUCACUUGCUUCAGUGGUCACUUGCUUUGGGGCAGCACACUCACUCAAGGGCAAUGAGGCUGCAUCAAACCUAACCCUUUGGACUUCUACUCUGACAGCUGGGGAGCAGACCCUGCACCCAACAAGGUGAUGACAGCCAUGAAGCAAAAAGGAGGUCCUAUGCAACAUCCAAAGCAGGCGCUGGAUACCACAGCACUAAUCACACCCCCUAUCAAGGGGAUAAUGUCCAGCACACUCUUGAAGAAAGAUGUGGCUGGCAUCAAACCAAAAACAACCCUUACACUGGAAAUACUAGACUCACCCAGACUGUACCAGGAUCCUCCCACAUCAAAACACCCCUCUAGGACCAUAGUAGACAAUUGUUUCUCCUAAAUUCAUAGAGAUAGAAAGUUACAUAAAAUUAAAAAGCAGAGGAACUAUUCCCAAUUAAAAGAACAAGAGAAAUCCCCUGAAAAUAUAAGUAAUGAAACAAAUCUCACCAGUCUACUAGACUGCAAGUUCAAAAAGGAGGUAAUAAAAAUGCUAAAAGAAUUAAGAAAGAUUAUCAAUGGAAAUGCAUUGAUCACUGUAACAUGGAACUAGAAACCAUAAGGAUGAACCAGUUAAAAUUAGAUAAAUCAAUUGCUGAGAUAAAAACCAACCUAGGAGUUCCUAUGUGGCUCAGCAGAUUAAGGAUCUGGCAUCGUCACUGCAGUGGUUUGGGUCACUGCUGUGGCAUGGCCUGGGCGCUUCCACAGGCCUUGGGCAUGGCCAACAGGAAAAAAAAAGUUCUGGAAGCAAUGAAUAGCAGACUAAAUGACAAGAAUGAAUAGGUGAUCUGGAAGAUAGAA
rnacentral:lncRNA from 1 species